rnacentral:rRNA from 1 species
UACGUAGGGGGCAAGCGUUGUCCGGAUUUAUUGGGCGUAAAGAGCUCGUAGGCGGUUCCGUAAGUCAGGUGUGAAAAAUCUGGGCUCAACCCAGUGGAGCACCUGAUACUGCGGUGACUCGAGUCCGGUAGGGGAGUGUGGAAUUCCUGGUGUAGCGGUGAAAUGCGCAGAUAUCAGGAAGAACACCUAUGGCGAAGGCAGCUCUCUGGGACGGUACUGACGCUGAGACGCGAAAGCGUGGGGAGCGAACAGG